rnacentral:rRNA from 1 species
CCUACGGGACGCAGCAGUGAGGAAUAUUGGUCAAUGGCCGAGAGGCUGAACCAGCCAAGUCGCGUGAGGGAAGACGGCCCUACGGGUUGUAAACCUCUUUUGUCGGGGAGCAAAGCGAGUCACGUGUGACUCAUUGAGAGUACCCGAAGAAAAAGCAUCGGCUAACUCCGUGCCAGCAGCCGCGGUAAUACGGAGGAUGCGAGCGUUAUCCGGAUUUAUUGGGUUUAAAGGGUGCGUAGGCGGGACCUUAAGUCAGCGGUAAAAUUGCGGUGCUCAACGCCGUAGAGCCGUUGAAACUGGGGUUG